AGAGUUUGAUCCUGGCUCAGGAUGAACGCUGGCGGCGUGCUUAACACAUGCAAGUCGAACGAAGCACCUGGAGUUGAUUUCUUCGGAAUGACGAUUUGGUGACUGAGUGGCGGACGGGUGAGUAACGCGUGGGUAACCUGCCUUAUACAGGGGGAUAACAGUUGGAAACGGCUGCUAAUACCGCAUAAGCGCACAGGGUCGCAUGACCUGGUGUGAAAAACUCCGGUGGUAUGAGAUGGACCCGCGUUGGAUUAGCUGGUUGGUGAGGUAACGGCCCACCAAGGCGACGAUCCAUAGCCGACCUGAGAGGGUGACCGGCCACAUUGGGACUGAGACACGGCCCAAACUCCUACGGGAGGCGGCAGUGGGGAAUAUUGCACAAUGGGCGAAAGCCUGAUGCAGCGACGCCGCGUGAGCGAAGAAGUAUUUCGGUAUGUAAAGCUCUAUCAGCAGGGAAGAUAAUGACGGUACCUGACUAAGAAGCACCGGCUAAAUACGUGCCAGCAGCCGCGGUAAUACGUAGGGGGCAAGCGUUAUCCGGAUUUACUGGGUGUAAAGGGAGCGUAGACGGAGAGGCAAGUCUGAUGUGAAAACCCGGGGCUCAACCCCGGGAGUGCAUUGGAAACUGUUUAUCUGGAGUGCCGGAGGGGUAAGUGGAAUUCCUAGUGUAGCGGUGAAAUGCGUAGAUAUUAGGAGGAACACCAGUGGCGAAGGCGGCUUACUGGACGGUAACUGACGUUGAGGCUCGAAAGCGUGGGGAGCAAACAGGAUUAGAUACCCUGGUAGUCC
rnacentral:rRNA from 1 species